GACGAACGCUGGCGGCGUGCCUAAUACAUGCAAGUUGAGCGAUGAAGCUUGGUGCUUGCACCAAUUUGAAGAGCAGCGAACGGGUGAGUAACGCGUGGGGAAUCUGCCUUUGAGCGGGGGACAACAUUUGGAAACGAAUGCUAAUACCGCAUAACAACUUUAAACAUAAGUUUUAAGUUUGAAAGAUGCAAUUGCAUCACUCAAAGAUGAUCCCGCGUUGUAUUAGCUAGUUGGUGAGGUAAAGGCUCACCAAGGCGAUGAUACAUAGCCGACCUGAGAGGGUGAUCGGCCACAUUGGGACUGAGACACGGCCCAAACUCCUACGGGAGGCAGCAGUAGGGAAUCUUCGGCAAUGGACGAAAGUCUGACCGAGCAACGCCGCGUGAGUGAAGAAGGUUGUCGGAUCGUAAAACUCUGUUGGUAGAGAAGAACGUUGGUGAGAGUGGAAAGCUCAUCAAGUGACGGUAACUACCCAGAAAGGGACGGCUAACUACAUG
rnacentral:rRNA from 1 species